GACCAACGCUGGCGGCAUGCCUAACACAUGCAAGUCGAACGGACAGAACAGGGAAGCUUUUCGGAGUGGAACUGGAAAGUUAGUGGCGGAUGGGUGAGUAACGCGUGGACAACCUACCUUGUAAAGGGGAAUAACCUCGAGAAAUCGAAGCUAAUACCCCAUAAUAACCUUGCUUCGCAUGAAGUAAGGAGGAAAGGCGGCCUUAGCGCUGUCGAUACAAGAUGGGUCCGCGUCUGAUUAGCUAGUUGGUGAGGUAAAGGCUCACCAAGGCGACGAUCAGUAGCCGGCCUGAGAGGGUGAACGGCCACAUUGGGACUGAGACACGGCCCAAACUCCUACGGGAGGCAGCAGUGGGGAAUCUUCCGCAAUGGGCGAAAGCCUGACGGAGCAAUGCCGCGUGAGUGAAGAAGGCCUUCGGGUUGUAAAACUCUGUCCUUAUCGAAGAGAGAGUGUUGUAGUAAGUGACAAUACUAGGACGGUAGAUGAGGAGGAAGCCCCGGCUAACUAUGUG
rnacentral:rRNA from 1 species